rnacentral:rRNA from 1 species
GAUGAACGCUGGCGGCGUGCCUAAUACAUGCAAGUCGAGCGAACGGACGAGAAGCUUGCUUCUCUGAUGUUAGCGGCGGACGGGUGAGUAACACGUGGAUAACCUACCUAUAAGACUGGGAUAACUUCGGGAAACCGGAGCUAAUACCGGAUAAUAUUUUGAACCGCAUGGUUCAAAAGUGAAAGACGGUCUUGCUGUCACUUAUAGAUGGAUCCGCGCUGCAUUAGCUAGUUGGUAAGGUAACGGCUUACCAAGGCAACGAUGCAUAGCCGACCUGAGAGGGUGAUCGGCCACACUGUAACUGUGACACGGUCCAGACUCCUACGGGAGGCAGCAGUAGGGAAUCUUCCGCAAUGGGCGAAAUCCUGACGGAGCAACGCCGCGUGAGUGAUGAAGGUCUUCGGAUCGUAAAACUCUGUUAUUAGGGAAGAACAUAUGUGUAAGUAACUGUGCACAUCUUGACGGUACCUAAUCAGAAAGCCACGGCUAACUACGUG